CACGUAGGGCGCGAGCGUUGUCCGGAAUUAUUGGGCGUAAAGAGCUCGUAGGCGGCCUGUUGCGUCCGCUGUGAAGGCCCGGGGCUUAACCCCGGGUCUGCAGUGGAUACGGGGCAGGCUAGAGGUAGGUAGGGGAGAAUGGAAUUCCCGGUGUAGCGGUGAAAUGCGCAGAUAUCGGGAGGAACACCGGUGGCGAAGGCGGUUCUCUGGGCCUUACCUGACGCUGAGGAGCGAAAGCGUGGGGAGCGAACAGG
rnacentral:rRNA from 1 species